GACAGAGGGUGCGAACGUUGCUCGGAAUUACUGGGCGUAAAGCGCGUGUAGGCGGGUGAUCAAGUGAGGUGUGAAAUCCCUGGGCUCAACCCAGGAACUGCACUUGAAACUGGUUGCCUUGAGUGUUGGAGAGGGAAGCGGAAUUCCUGGUGUAGAGGUGAAAUUCGUAGAUAUCAGGAGGAACACCGGUGGCGAAGGCGGCUUCCUGGACAAUUACUGACGCUCAUGCACGAAAGCGUGGGGAGCAAACAGG
rnacentral:rRNA from 1 species